rnacentral:rRNA from 1 species
AAGUCGAACGAGAGAGAGGGAGCUUGCUUCCUCGAUCGAGUGGCGAACGGGUGAGUAACGCGUGAGGAACCUGCCUCAAAGAGGGGGACAACAGUUGGAAACGACUGCUAAUACCGCAUAAGCCCACGGGUCGGCAUCGACCAGAGGGAAAAGGAGCAAUCCGCUUUGAGAUGGCCUCGCGUCCGAUUAGCUAGUUGGUGAGGUAACGGCCCACCAAGGCAACGAUCGGUAGCCGGACUGAGAGGUUGAACGGCCACAUUGGGACUGAGACACGGCCCAGACUCCUACGGGAGGCAGCAGUGGGGAAUAUUGCACAAUGGGGGAAACCCUGAUGCAGCGACGCCGCGUGGAGGAAGAAGGUCUUCGGAUUGUAAACUCCUGUUGUUGAGGAAGAUAAUGACGGUACUCAACAAGGAAGUGACGGCUAACUACGUGCCAGCAGCCGCGGUAAAACGUAGGUCACAAGCGUUGUCCGGAAUUACUGGGUGUAAAGGGAGCGCAGGCGGGAAGACAAGUUGGAAGUGAAAUCCAUGGGCUCAACCCAUGAACUGCUUUCAAAACUGUUUUUCUUGAGUAGUGCAGAGGUAGGCGGAAUUCCCGGUGUAGCGGUGGAAUGCGUAGAUAUCGGGAGGAACACCAGUGGCGAAGGCGGCCUACUGGGCACCAACUGACGCUGAGGCUCGAAAGUGUGGGUAGCAAACAGGAUUAGAUACCCUGGUAGUCCACACCGUAAACGAUGAUUACUAGGUGUUGGAGGAUUGACCCCUUCAGUGCCGCAGUUAACACAAUAAGUAAUCCACCUGGGGAGUACGACCGCAAGGUUGAAACUCAAAGGAAUUGACGGGGGCCCGCACAAGCAGUGGAGUAUGUGG